rnacentral:rRNA from 1 species
GUCAGUUGAGAUGUUAUCAUUGGUUGUCUUAAGGCGCUUGAUUUAAAGUUGGCCUUAUUUCUCUUGUCCUUUCGUACUGGGAGAAAUACGUAAUAGAUAGAAACCGACCUGGAUUACUCCGGUCUGAACUCAGAUCACGUAGGACUUUAAUCGUUGAACAAACGAACCUUUGAUAGCGGUUGCACCAUCAGGAUGUCCUGAUCCAACAUCGAGGUCGUAAACCCUAUUGUCGAUAUGGACUCUUGAAUAGGAUUGCGCUGUUAUCCCUAGGGUAACUUGUUCCGUUGAUCAAGUUUUGGAUCAAUGAGCGAUAGAGUGAUUUGACUUGUGGGUCUAGUCUUUAAAAUCGCUCGGAGGAUUUUUUAUUCUCCGAGGUCACCCCAACCGAAACUACCAACUCAUGGAGAUGUGUUAUUCCUUAAUGGUUAAAUCUAUUCUCUUUGGGUUGGUUAGUUANAGCUCCAUAGGGUCUUCUCGUCUUAUUUGUGCAUUCCCGCCUCUUCACGGGAAGGUCAAUUUCACUGAUUGGNAGUACAGAGACAGUAAAACCUCGUGCGG